rnacentral:rRNA from 1 species
AUGGUGACUACAAAGAAGCAUCUUUCUUAUCCUUUAGUAUACCGACUUGUAAAGCUAGCACUUACUUUGCCUGUUGCCACUGCAACCGUUGAGAGGUGCUUCUCAGCUAUGAAGAUUGUGAAGAAUGCUCUACGUAGCGAAAUUAGUGAUGAUUCUUAUCUGCUUCAUAGAAAAAGAAUUGUUGAACAACAUUCCAAAUGA